rnacentral:lncRNA from 1 species
CAAAAGAAGGUGAAGAAAAAGUUGAAGAGAAGAAAGAUGGAAAGGAGGAAAAGGAAGGUGAUGAAGAGAAGAAAACUGAGGAAAAUACCCAAGAAAAGAGUGAUGAGAAGAAUGGUGAGGAGGGUGAGAAGGCUGAUGUAGAUGUUGAGGUUGACAAGGGUAUCUCCAUUUGGGGAGUGCCCCUUUUGGCCAGUAAAGGGCAUGAGGGAACUGAUGUGGUUCUCUUGAAAUUUUUAAGGGCUAGGGACUUCAAAGUCAAUGAGGCAUUUGAGAUGCUGAAGAAAACUCUUCAAUGGAGGAAAGAGUUGAACAUUGAUUUGGUUUUGGAUGAAGAUUUAGGGGCUGAUCUUGCAUCUGUUGCAUACAUGAAUGGGGUUGAUCGUGAAGGCCGCCCCAUCUGCUACAACAUUUUUGGAGUUUUGGAUGAUGCGGAGCUCUACAAGAAGACUUUUGGGACUGAGGAGAAGCGCACUCAGUUCUUGAGAUGGAGAGUCCAGCUUAUGGAGAAGGGAAUUCAAAAGCUUGAUUUCAAGCCUGGCGGUGUCAAUUCCUUGCUUCAGAUCAAUGAUCUCAAGAACUCACCCGGGCCAUCCAGGAAGGAAGUUCGUGUUGCUACAAAACAAGCUGUUGCUCUU